AAGCGGAGGAAAAGAAACUAACAAGGAUUCCCCUAGUAACGGCGAGUGAAGAGGGAAGAGCUCAAAUUUUAAAUCUGCCUUGUUCCAAGGUCGAGUUGUAAUUUGAAGAAGCGUUUUCUUGGGCUCGCGGCCGGUAGAAGUUCUUUGGAACAGGACAUCAUAGAGGGUGACAAUCCCGUCCGUGACCGGUCGUGCGUUCAUCUACGAUACGCUUUCAAAGAGUCGAGUUGUUUGGGAUUGCAGCUCCAAACGGGUGGUAAACAUCACCUAAGGCUAAAUAUUGGCGAGAGACCGAUAGCGAACAAGUACCGUGAGGGAAAGAUGAAAAGAACUUUGAAAAGAGAGUUAAACAGUACGUGAAAUUGUUGAAAGGGAAACGAUUGAAGUCAGUCGUGCUGGCGCGAAAUCAACCCUCUCGUCUUGAGAUCACAUGGCGCGACGAGCCUCAAAACCGUCACGAAGCGUGAACUCUUGACGAAAAGGUGCACUUUCGUGUCCGCUGGUUAACAUCAAUUUCGAACGUCAUAAAAAGGCUGGAGGGAUGUGGCUCCUUCGGGAGUGUUAUAACCUUUAGCGGAAUGUGGCGUUCGGGAUUGAGGAUUGCAACGAAUACCUUCAGGGCUGUUCCACCUGGCUUCUCAUUGGUAUCCUGGUGACGACAGCUUGCUGACGUCGUUAGGAUCAGCUUCUGAACAGGCUAGAGUGUGAGCAAAUUCGUWAAGGAUGUUAACGUAAUGGCUUUAAACGACCCGUCU
rnacentral:rRNA from 1 species